CUGAGACAGACAACUACAAUUAAUGUAGACCUGGAAACUUUAUUGAGAGAGAGUUUAUAUUUCCGACUAACAUCAUCAGAAACUGGGAGGACAGAUAUCUUUUCAAAAUUGAAAUUACUCCGUUGAAGAUGCGAAGUUUUCCCUAUAGAUUCAAUGGUCCUCAGACACAAUUCAAAUUUAAAAAGUCUCUAGUCCUUAUUAGUAAGUCUUCAGUUCUUAAACACAUUCACUUUGUUAAUUCCCCUACGAUGUCAGUGAUCAAAGACCGAAUUACCCAAUAUGAAUUUCAGAGCGACUUGGCUACAUUGAUUUUUAGGCAUCUUCGAUUGUUGUCGAUUUGACAAGUCUUCGUUACCUUCUUUAUUAUUCUUCUGAACUCUUACAGUAGAAUUUUUUAUGUUCAGAGAAGCGGUCUUUUCCUUUCAAGGUUUGCUUCCGACUGCAUUGAAGAACUAGACUGAAUAACUUGUAUUUACCACUCUCUCUCAAAGUGAGCAACUUUACUCUUGGGAGCCAGGUGAUUGACAACUUCUGGAGUGGCUCUCAGACAUGUCUGGUCCAUUCAGUGACUCUUGAGCGACUCCCCAAUUAAUCACUGUCUUCUUACUAACAACUUGCUUUUUCCCCUUUUUUCGUUUUCCCUUGUUACAUACCAUAUUUCUCCU
rnacentral:lncRNA from 1 species